GCAAGUCGAGCGAGAAAGGUCUUCGGACUGAGUACAGCGGCGGACGGGUGAGUAACGCGUAGGAAUCUACCUGGUAGUGGGGGACAACUUGUGGAAACGCAAGCUAAUACCGCAUACGCCCUAAGGGGGAAAGCGGGGGAUCUUCGGACCUCGCGCUAUUGGAUGAGCCUGCGUCGGAUUAGCUUGUUGGUGAGGUAAAAGCUCACCAAGGCUACGAUCCGUAGCUGGUCUGAGAGGACGAUC
rnacentral:rRNA from 1 species